rnacentral:piRNA from 1 species
UAGCCUUUUAGAGUUUCAUGCUUGUCCCUA